rnacentral:rRNA from 1 species
UACGAAGGGGGCUAGCGUUGUUCGGAAUUACUGGGCGUAAAGGGCUCGUAGGCGGCCAACGAAGUCAGACGUGAAAUCCCUCGGCUCAACCGGGGAACUGCGUCUGAUACUGGAUGGCUUGAAUCCGGAAGAGGGAUGCGGGAUUCCAGGUGUAGCGGUGAAAUGCGUAGAUAUCAGGAGGAACACCGGUGGCGAAGGCGGGUCUCUGGGCCGAUACUGACGCUGAGGAGCGAAAGCGUGGGGAGCGAACAGG